GACGAACGCUGGCGGCGUGCUUAACACAUGCAAGUCGAACGAAGUGGCGAACGGGUGAGUAACGCGUAAUCAACCUGCCCUUCAGUGGGGGACAACAGUUGGAAACGACUGCUAAUACCGCAUACUGAAGGAGGGGAUUGCGGCUGAUUAGCUAGUUGGAGGGGUAACGGCCCACCAAGGCGAUGAUCAGUAGCCGGUCUGGGAGGAUGAGCGGCGACAUUGGGACUGAGACACGGCCCAGACUCCCACGGUAGGCAGCGGUGGGGGAGCUUCCGCAAUGGACGAAAGUCUGACGGAGUAACGCCGCGGUAGUGAGGACGGGCUUCGGGUUGUAAAGCUCUGUUAAUCGGGACGCGGUACCGGAAUAGAAAGCCACGGCUAACUACGUGCCAGCAGCCGCGGUAAUAC
rnacentral:rRNA from 1 species